UACGUAGGGUGCGAGCGUUGUCCGGAAUUAUUGGGCGUAAAGAGCUUGUAGGCGGUCUGUCGCGUCUGCUGUGAAAAUCCGGGGCUCAACCCCCGGACUUGCAGUGGGGUACGGGGCAGACUAGAGUGUGGUAGGGGGAGACUGGAAUUCCUGGUGUAGCGGUGAAAUGCGCAGAUAUCAGGAGGAACACCGAUGCGAAGGC
rnacentral:rRNA from 1 species